AGAGCACAUGGGUCGGAUAAGAAACCGGGUCGAAGGAAUCGAGUUGAUAGAAAACCGUACCUAGAAUAACGGGUAUUAUUAGUGAAAUAAAAAUAGGGUUUAGAAAGAUGGAGGGAGAAGUCAUAUUUGCAGUUGUUAUUGUAGAAGAAGAAGAAGAAAUUGGGGCUAGUGUGAAUAGAAGAGCAGAUGAAGGAUUAACAUUUGAGAUAAUAACAAAUCGUCAGCAAAGAAGAAGGUAUGUGUUGACUCGUAUUCCUCUUUGUUUCCAUUCUUAUCAUAACAAAAAAAUAAAAUUUGGUUCCUAUCUACUACUCCAUUUCUUUCUAUCAUAACCAUAUUUCGGACUAAUUAUAUUACUUUAUCAACUUUGAGGUAUUUUAAACAUUUUUCUAUAUUUUUAUUAAAAAUAUAAUGUUUUCGCAAAAGUUUAAACUUGAAAUCACUUUGUUAUGUAUAUAUAAAAUUAAUAAUUUGUGUGAAGUUUAAAAAUAUUUUUAAUAUUUUUCUUUUAAAAAAAAAAGACUAAACCAAUACCUUUUACUUUACUUUGCCUCUCAUUUACAGUUUCACACUUAUCAUUAAAAAAAUAAAAGUAUGUUUUGCAGUUUAUAAUAAAAAAAAGUUCAAUUUAAUAAUCUCUAAAUUUAAACUUCAUGUGAUGAUUAAAUUAAAAAAACUAUGCUAAAGUACUUUCAAAAAUAAAAAAAAUGAAUGGCUGAUAAAAGUAAUGGUAACGUAUAAAAUAUGAUGAGUGAAUUAAUAAAUUGAACAUUCUAGUAUGUUUGAAAAAUUGUUGGCCGCAUAGACCGGUUUAGCGAUUCGCACGCUCCUAAUUAUUUAUUCUUGAUAAAGCUAUUUGCAUAUAAUGAUAGAGUAGGUAAGUUAAUUAUUUACUAAAGAUGAUUUAUAUUAAUAAAGUUAUUUAGGUUAAAUCAUUUCAUUUUAAUUUACUAUUAAACAGUAAGUAGUAAAGUAAAUUAUUAAUGACAUAUUGAUUGAAUGGGUUAUUGUUACCUUAUAUGACUUUUUGACAAUAUUAAGUUAGGCCUGAAGUUGGUUCGUUUUAAGAUAGACUUAGAGGUUUUCGUGGUUCGAUUUGGAUCUAUUAUUGAUUAAAAUUAAAAUCAGAUUAAUUUUAAUCGAUUUUUAAAAAUUUAAAAUCAAACCAAAUCAAACGAAAAAAAGUUACUAUCGGUUUGAUUCAAUUUUUCUGGUUUAUUUGGUUUGAAAGUAAUAAUUUUGUCGAGGAUAUACGUAUCUCGAUAGACACAAACACUAAGUACAUGAACAAUCUACAAAAAAAAUUAAUGUCGAUUUGGUGAAACAAUUAAGCAAUAUUAGAUAUAUCAUUACACGAACAAAGUGUUUUAUUUAAGAGAAAAUUUGACUAUUUUAUGUGAAGUACAGUAGAUAAAGACUAAACUAGAUUUUGAUGGACUUGGAUUUGAGAUUGUUAUACUUGGGUUAAAUUAUUGACUUGAGAAAAUAGUAAAGUUAAAGACUUAAAGUUAAUUAAAAUUUAACAAAAUAAUUUUAAUUUAUUUAUGCAAUAAUAUAUAAAUAAUUAUAAAAUUUAUGUAUCUAAUUUAUCGAUUUGGUUUGAUUAUUUUUGCACUUUUUAGUAAAACCAAAACCAAAUCAAAUAGUAGGGAUUUUUCAAAAUUUAAAAACCAAACCUAACUAAACUAAAUCAAAUAUCCAAUUUUUUAAUUGAUUUGGUUUGAAUUGCAAUUUAAUUUGGUUGUUAACCAUAACCAUGAACAACCCUAAAUAUAGUAUUAAACGUCGAUUAUAUUAUUGAUUUAUUGUUGGUUUACCCUUUGCAAUAAGGUUGAAUUCAAAUAAAAAGUUACUCAAUAUUUGCACUUGUAAUAUCAAUUGAUUACCUUAAAUGCAAAAAUUAUAACGAGUGUGAAUGUUAAACAAUUAAACAAAGUCAUACAUCAAUUAAACAUAACAUCUUGUAAUGUAUGGAGAUAAUUAUAGCUGUCAAUAUAGUUUAGGUUCGUUGGGCUAAUCUGACUUAACAAGCGAUUUAAUAUGGGUGGACUAAGAUAUUUGAGGCUCAUUCAAGAAAAGAGUUUUUUACUUCGGCCCGAAUAAGUUUACUGAUUUGUGGAGCUUAAGAAAUAUCGGUAGGAUCGGUCCGUAGGUCAAUAAAAAAUAAUUAAAAAAUAUAAUAUAAGAUUAAAACUUAAAAUUAAAGAAAGUCCAAACUCAAAACAAUUAAGUUAAUAUUUCUUUUUAGUUAUUUAUAUUUUUACUUGAAAAAAUUAUAAGUAUUAUAAAGAUAAUUUUAUUUGUAGAUUUGAAUAACAAGGAAUAACAUUAACAUCAUGUAAUAUUAUUUUGUUGAUAUUUAUGAUAAUAUUUUUAAUUAUAAUUUAUAAUUUAAUUUAAUAAUUAUGAAAAAAAUAUAAUUUUUUUAAAAGUAAGCUGGCCGGCAAGCCUGUAGCCCGUAUUGUGGGUUGGGCCGACCACACCAAAAAUAGGCUAACCUGGCCUGACCUGUAAAAUGUCAAAGCAUGAUUAGCCUGGAUGGGAUAGGUUAGCCUAUAUUGAUAGAUCUAGAUAAUUAUAUAAACCUUCUUAUUUUCAGUGAAGCCAGGCAAUGGCGGAGCUACAGUGUCUCGAGAGUGUCCAAUUGAACACCCUUUGCCGGAAAUUAUACCAUAUAUACAAGUAAAAUGUUAUUUGUAACGAUUAAAAAAAUUAAAUUGGACAUUGUGAGCACAUGGGUUCGAAUUCCCACAACUGCAAUUUUAAAUACAACACUUUUAUUUUAUCAUUUAUUAACUUAUUUAUUUAAUUGUCUAAGCUAAUUAAAUCACAUUCUUAAUUAAAAAUUUAGGUUUACUAGCUAAUUGAAAUUUCAUUAACUUCAUUAUUUAAUUGUCUAAGCUCAUUAAAUUACAUUCUUAAUUAAAAAUUUAGGUUUACUAGCUAAUUAAAAUUUGUUUAACUUAUUUCUUUAAUUGUCUAAGCUAAUUAAAUUACAUUCUUAAUUAAAAAAUUAGAUUUAUUAGAUAAUUGAAUUUCGAUGUAUUUGACUUUUUAUUUCCUCCCAUUAACAUUUGAAAUAAAACUUAAUUUUAAAUACAACACUUUUAUUUUAUUACCCAUAACUUAUUUCUUUAAUUGUCCAAACUAAUUUAAUUACAUUCUUAAAUAAAAAUUUAGGUUUACAAGCUAAUUGAAUUUCAAUGAAUUGGACUCUUUAUUUCCUCCCAUUAAAAUUUGAAGUAUAACUUCAUUUUAAAUACAACACUUUUAUUUUAUUAUCCAUUAACUUAUUUUUUUAAUUGUCUAAACUGAUUAAUUACAUUCUUAAUUAAAAAUUUAGGUUUAGUAGCUAAUUGAAUUUCAAUGAAUUUGACUUUUUAUUUCUUGUCAUUAAAAUUUGAAAUAAAACUUAAAUGUAAUUAUUUAAUUUAAAAUUAAUAAACAAAAUCUAAACUAUUUCUGUAAAACAAUUAAAAGCAAACAAAAAGAACCCCUCAUUUGAUUUGCGUCUAUUAUUCGUGUUUCGUUAUUGUUGUCAUCACCAGAGAUUAGUGAAAGCUUGAAAUGUAAAAAUGAUUUCAUUUUAUGCUUAAUGCUCCCAUCUUUUUCUUUUUUUCUUCUUGUUUUAUUCGUUCACUUUAUAUUAAAUUAAACACAAAUAUUAAAACUAAAUAUUAUGUAGUUUGAUUUUUAAAAUUUUGGAACAUUUAUUCGUAAAAAGAAGUAAUAUUAGUAUUAUGUAGUUUAAUUUUUAAUUUUUUUCAAUGCAUCUAUUUAUAGAAAAAAAUACUUAUAUAAUAUUUGGACACGCUUCGUAAAAUUUCUAGCUUCGCCACCGAAGCCAGACUUGAAAGUAGGUUUCUUAAAUUAUUUCUUUUAUUUUUAUUUAUUUUUGGAAUAGCUUUGUGGGGAAACUUAUUUUAAUCUGAAUGAUAUUAUUGAUAUAAAUUAUCAAUAAAUGGACGAUCAUAAAUGUUCAUUCUAAUAAUGCUAAUUACUUGACGAUAUUUUUCUUUUCCUUUUCUGUCAAAAAUGAAAUACUCCAUACCUAAUAAUUGCCUUCAUGUCUCUCUUGAUCGAGAAUUUAAUCGCUUGUGAAAUGAAUUGUAAAGUUGUCAAUUUAGGACAAUUUCCUGCCUUAUAUAGGAAACUUAUAAAAAUGAUAAAUAAAGUUUUGCAAUCAAUAAUUGCCCCAAAGUACUAAAUAUAUGGUCUAACGUGUUUAAGACGAAAGGUAACACUUUGAAGCUUAUCAUUAUUACUAGCACAAGCCUAAUAUCUAUUCUUUUAAUGUCAGUUUAUAUGAUAUAAAUAAAAAUUAGAGAGUUUUUUACUUAAUUUUUAAAUAAUACUUAUUACUUCCUGUGUCCCAAUGUACGUAGAACAAAUAGAAUUCAAGAUGUUGAAGAAAAAGAAAACUAACGAUUGAAACAUGUCAAAGGAACAGGGUCAGCGCAGUUGACUGACUUGUCUACAUCAAGUGUUGAUGAAGAAGGAAGCUGAGGUUGGAACAUGUCGAAGGAACAUGCCUAACGAAGCUGACUGGCGAGUUACAACACUGGUGAAGAAUUAGAGUUACGCUAGGAUUAGACUAUCUAUGUUAAUCAGGAUUAUAUUUCGUCUAGAAGUAUAUUUAUGAUUAGGAUUAUAGUACAACUAGGAUUAGAUUAUUUAUAAUUACAUUAUUAUUAUUAUUAUAGUAGUAAUAUGUAUUGUAAUAAGACUCUAAGUACUGUUAACUUAAAACUCUACAAUUCUCUCCUACAUUAAGAGUAUGUACUUAACAUUAUCAUUCACCAAUUCAUCAAUAAUUGAUCACAUAUCAAUUCAUC
rnacentral:lncRNA from 1 species